rnacentral:rRNA from 1 species
AACGAACGCUGGCGGCAUGCCUAACACAUGCAAGUCGAACGAAGGCUUCGGCCUUAGUGGCGCACGGGUGCGUAACGCGUGGGAAUCUGCCCCUCGGUUCGGAAUAACAGUUAGAAAUGACUGCUAAUACCGGAUGAUGACUUCGGUCCAAAGAUUUAUCGCCGAGGGAUGAGCCCGCGUAGGAUUAGGUAGUUGGUGGGGUAAAGGCCUACCAAGCCGACGAUCCUUAGCUGGUCUGAGAGGAUGAUCAGCCACACUGGGACUGAGACACGGCCCAGACUCCUACGGGAGGCAGCAGUGGGGAAUAUUGGACAAUGGGCGAAAGCCUGAUCCAGCAAUGCCGCGUGAGUGAUGAAGGCCUUAGGGUUGUAAAGCUCUUUUACCAGGGAUGAUAAUGACGGUACCUGGAGAAUAAGCUCCGGCUAACUCCGUGCCAGCCGCCGCGGUAA